rnacentral:rRNA from 1 species
UACGGAGGGUGCAAGCGUUAUCCGGAUUCACUGGGCUUAAAGGGAGCGCAGGCGGAUUGGUAAGUCAGUGGUGAAAUACCCGUGCUUAACAUGGGAACUGCCAUUGAUACUAUCAGUCUUGAAUGUUGUUGAGGUUUGCGGAAUGGGUCAUGUAGCGGUGAAAUGCAUAGAUAUGACCCGGAACACCUAUUGCGAAGGCAGCAGGCUAAACAAAUAUUGACGCUGAGGCUCGAAAGCGUGGGGAUCAAACAGG